AAAUAGAUGAGUUUGGUGAUGGCUCUGAUUGAAUGCUGUCCAAGUGCUUGACACAUGCUAAUCGUACGUUUUAAUUUAUGUUGUAAAACUAAAAUUAAAAAGUGGUGUACAGGUGAGUAUAAUGAUAUUCUUAGCCGACCUUAGAGUGAAGGUAAAUCCUUCAUAGUUAUAAAGGGAAAUAAUAUCCCACUUUAAGAGGACAAUAAAUAUCUUCGGGAUAGGUAGUAGUUAAGGUGAUGGCUUAACUAGCCUAGAACUCUCGUAGUCGAAUCUGAAAGGUUGAUCGAUCACAUUGGGUCUGAAAAAACCCCAAUGCAAGUUAGUACAGCAGUGAGGAAUAUUGGUCAAUGGCCUAACGGCUGAACUGGCAACUUGGAGAAGUUGCGUAGCGUUAAAGAAAGGCUGAAAAGUCUGAUAGACGCAAACCGGGAAUUUAAAUUUAUAACUUUGUUUAUAUAUUAAUAAUGACAAUAUAUAUAUCGUGUCUUGACUAAUUACGUGCCAGCAGUCGCGGUAAUACGUAAGAGACUAGUGUUAUUCAUCUUAAUUAGGUUUAAAGGGUACCUAGACGGUCAAUAUAGCUUCUAUAAUGUUAGUACUUGACUAGAGUUUUAUGUAAAAGGGCAGUACUUGAGGAGAAGAGAUGAAAUUUUAUGAUACCAAAGGGACUCGGUAAAGGCGAAGGCAGCCCUCUAUGUAAAAACUGACGUUGAAGGACGAAGGCACAGAGCACAAACAGGAUUAGAUACCCUAGUAGUCUUUGCAGUAAAUGAUGAAUGCCAUAGGUCAGAUUAAAGUUUAAUAAUUAAGUUUGUCAGUAAAACCAACUAAUUAUUAAAUAACAUUUGGUCUAUAAAUGAAAGUGUAAGCAUUUCACCUCAAGAGUAAUGUGGCAACGCAGGAACUGAAAUCACUAGACCGUUUCUAACACCAGUAGUGAAGUAUGUUGUUUAAUUCGAUGACCCACGAAAAACCUUACCACAAUUUGUAUAAUAGUUACAGGAGUUGCACGGCUGUUUUCAGUUAAUGUUGUGAAGCUGUGGUUUCCAUGUAAUUAACGAAAUCCCUGGCUUUAUUUUUUUGUUUUAUGAUAAAGCAUUUGAUCCUAGAAUUUGGAAAAAAAAAGGGGACAAAGACAAGUCAUCAUGGCCUUUAUAUUGUGGGCUAUAGACGUGCCACAUAUUCCUAGACAAAGAGAUGCAAAAAUGUGAAUUUAAGCUAAUCUCAAAAAAUAGGAUAUAAAUUUUAAGGAUUAUAGUCUGAAAUUCGACUGUAUGAAUAAGUAAUUACUAGUAAUCGUGAAUCACCAUGUCACGGUGAAUAUUCCUUGGAUUGGUACUAACCACUCGUCGCAUGCUGAAAAGAGCAUGUGCAAUAAGUUUGCUUUCUCAAUAAUUAGUAAAAAAAACAUGUAGGUUUUAUAUAUUCUUUUAUAGGGGAUCUUCGUAUGUGUGGCUCUAAUUAGUGUUAAGUCGAAAUACGGUUCGUGUAGUGGAAGUUGCACGGGAUUAAUUAAUAUU
rnacentral:rRNA from 1 species